GGGACAACCAGAGGCUAAAUUAGAGCUGAGGUCGCAGGAAUCAUUUUAAAUACAUGCUCUGGCCAAAUUUCAAGGUUGCGGCUCAGUGCGACACUAAGAUGAGAUAUUUGAAUAUGCCAACAUCAAUGAAGAUUUAUGAUCUAAAAUUGUUGUAGUACAACAGCAGCUGACUAAGCUUCUGCUAGAAGAGACAUGUGAUUAAAUAGAAGAUCGGAGUU